rnacentral:rRNA from 1 species
GACGAACGCUGGCGGCGUGCUUAACACAUGCAAGUCGAACGGAAAGGCCCUGCUUUUGUGGGUCUCUCGAGUGGCGAACGGGUGAGUAACACGUGAGUAUCCUGCCCUUGUCUUUGUGAUAACUUCAGGAGACUGCGGCUAAUACAGCAUAUGAUCUCCUGCAGCGUGGGGGGGGUUGGAGAGUGUCGGCGGUUGUGGAUGGACUCGCGGCUUAUGAGCUGGUUGGUGGGGUAGGGGCUUACCAAGGCUUUGACGGGUAGACGGCCUGAGAGGGUGAACGGCCACAUUGGGACUACGAUACGGACCAGACUCCUACGGGAGGCAGUAGUGGAGAGUAUUGCACAAUGGGGGGAAGCCUGAUGCAGAAAUCCCGCGUGCGGGAUGACGGCCUACAGGUUGUAAACCGCUUUCGCCUGUGACGAAGCGUGAGUGACGGUAAUGGGUAAAGAAGCACCGGCUAACUACGUG